rnacentral:misc_RNA from 1 species
GAUGAAGAACGCAGCGAAAUGCGAUAAGUAAUGUGAAUUGCAGAAUUCAGUGAAUCAUCGAAUCUUUGAACGCUCAUUGCGCCCCCUGGUAUUCCGGGGGGCAUGCCUGUUCGAGCGUCAUUUCACCACUCAAGCCUCGCUUGGUAUUGGGCAACGCGGUCCGCCGCGUGCCUCAAAUCGACCGGCUGGGUCUUCUGUCCCCUAAGCGUUGUGGAAACUUUCGCUAAAGGGUGUUCGGGAGGCUACGCCGUAAAACAACCCCAUUUCUAAGGUUGACCUCGGAUCAGGUAGGGAUACCCGCUGAACUUAAGCAUAUCAAUAAGCGGAGGA